rnacentral:lncRNA from 1 species
CACCAAUCUCACUCUGAUCAGUAUAAGAACCCCGACACAUAGCUCUGCACAUGCAAGUUAGUACUGCACUGCCCCAACUGAGUCUACGAGCGAAGUCUAAAUCUUCUAAUAAUAGCAAAAACAUCAAUUUCAUUUUAUUUGAUGAAGUAUCGGAUAACAGGACAUCACCUAACAACCGCAGCACCUGACCUCUAACAUACUGCUGCAUCAUCUCUUUUGGUGCAUCAUCCUCAAUAUAAAAAUAUCGAUAACGAUCAUCCAAACACUCAAUCCUGAGUUGUGAAUGAUCGAAAAACUAGACGUCGGGCUCAAACCC